rnacentral:misc_RNA from 1 species
ACUAAUUAGUUUUUUGGCCAGAAAGUUGACUGCGAAACAAAAUACAAAUCUUUCAGUUGGCGAUCAUACUUUAAGGAGAAUAUACGCAACGCGCACUAGCCUCGUUGAGUUUUCAAAGUUCGUACGAAAUUGUGCUCUUGAAAUUUUAAAAUAGAUAUUGAAUAAUAUAUCAACUUUUCCAUAAAAUGGACAUAUAUCAGGUGACGGGUUUGAAGAAACCAGAAUAUGUUGAACACAUCGAAAAAUACGGUGAUUUGGAUGAACCUACCAAAGAACUGAUACAGGCAGCGAUUGCGGUCCAGAAGCACGCCUACGUACAAUACAGUAACUUCUACGUUGGUGCUGCUUUUCGCACGAAAGACAAUCGCAUCUUUGCAGGUUGUAAUAUUGAAAACGCCAGUUUCACGCCCACAUCGUGUGCUGAACGCACCGCCAUCAGCAAAGCCGUUUCGGAGGGAUACCUAGAGUUUGUUGCAGGUGCAGUGGUCGCUUAUCAGGAGAACUCCUUUACAACGCCGUGUGGCGUGUGUCGACAAUUUAUAAUGGAGUUUGCGCCUAACGAUAUACCACUAUUCAUUACAAAAUCGCAAAUCAAUGUUGAGAAGUCUGACGAAGAUCUGGUGCUGUCGACAUCCAUCUAUAAUCUGCUGCCUCAUGGUUUUCGCACGUAUAAAAAGAAUUGAUUCAUUACAUAAUGGAAAGACAAAUAUUUUAAUCAAUAGUUACUCUUUAAUCAUAUCAAACUAUGGACCUCACUUACACCGUUAUUGCUGGCAAUAAUAAUGGUUUAAUGUAUACAUGUGUACAAAGCAGCAAUAUUGGGAGCUUUCAAGAAAGAGGGUUAAAGUGCAAAAUAAUUUCAUUCUGAAAAAAUAUGUCUUUCAUCCGCUUGAAUGCAAUUCGUUUUAUCUCUGAUAAAAGGCGAUAAACUUGCAAAUUUUAAUAACUUGAAAACCUUGAACCCCAACGGGUUUUUAGUGGUUUUCAGUUUCGCAAUCUUUAUCUAAACUUCGAAAAUAUAAUUGUUGCCCAAUUAAUCAACUUUUUGCCCAGUGGUGCAUUGUGCUCACCUACAUGUACAUAUAUUAUAUAGAGUAGGCUCUCAAUUUUUCGCUUUAUAAUAUUCGAUAUCAUUAUUUUUCUCAGAUUACUUAAAGAAAUGGUACUAAAAACAAAUUUCAGCUCGAUUGCACAUUCAUAGGUUCAUGUUAUCGCGGGUUACCUGUAAAUUAUAAAAAAUGUUAUCAUUCAGAGUAAUUAAUUUAUAUACUUCAACUUGACACUUGAAAUAACUUGUAUAUCACAGCUAUUGUGUUUUUAUGAUUAACAGACAAACAUGCCACACGGAUGUUAAUAAUAUAUUUUUACUAGCUUAAAUUUGUAAACAUAAAACUUCAACUUGCAUAUUCAGAUAAUUAUAUAAUUGCAUGGACGUACCGCAAACAUCCAUGUGCAAAGGCUCUUUUAUAAGCAGCAAUAAAAUACAAAUAAACAAUAAAUUUAUAUAUAACUGUAAAA